UAAAAUAAAAUAAAUUAUUAAUUUAUGUUAUUUAUGUUUUGUUAACAUACAUUUUACAAAAACAAACUAGUCUUUGGGGUUUAGACCGUUAUCAAACCAGUUAAAUGCUGAUCUAAUUCUUUUGUUUUAGUUAGAGAAACCAUGUUUAUGAUUAAUGUAGCCGAAAGAGGUAUUUCCGGUUGUAUCCAUCGAGAAGUCUAGUCCCAUGAGCAACCAUCAUUGGAAAAUAAACGAAUUUUCUAGAUUUUUAAUUCAAGAAGAAACGAUGGACAAGCUACAGAAAGAUAAUAUACAGAAAAUUGAAAUUAAAAAACCAAGGACGUAACGUAUAAACAAAUACAACUGGUAGAGGUAGCGUGGUAUGUCACACAUUGGAUGGCAAUACGUUAUUCGAAAUAAUGAUGAGUCGUUCGCUUUCGGCAGCUUAUUACUAAGGUUUUUUUUUUUGUAAAUUCGAUACUUUACUAUAAAAAAUAUAGACGUACUCUGUGCGCAAUAUUAUUCAAAUAAUACUAUUUUUAAAUAUUUAAAAAUACAAUAUGAAAGUUUACUCGGGGAGAAGAACUAUAAAGUCAAUAACCUCGAACCCCCUUCCGGUCGUAAAAACGGUACCGGUUUCCAGUACAGCGAGUAGCAGUAUUAAUAUUGGUUCCACUAUUUCAAUUAACAAGUAAAAUCGAGGUUAAAUUUUUUUUUUUAAAACGUCAUGAAGACCAAAAGAGCUUAACGAAAGUGACGAGCUAUGGAGACAUAAUUUUAUUUCGAGAAUAAAGUACACCCUGUUGCAUAAAUAAACGAGUCCGCGUGCGACGCCCAAGUACUAUGGUCGGCGGCUGCAGCAAUACGAGAAAAUCCCUUACAUACCACCACCACCGGGUUUAUUGAACUCCCGAGCAGAGAAAUACCACAGGCGGUCGUCAUGGCGACGGCGGCUAACGGUGUGGGGUGAGGUCGAGGAGGAGUUUAUGGUUCAGACGGCGACAACUGUGUUAUUGAUCUCUUCACCAUUAGCGCGCAUACACUACCCCUUCGUGCAGCAAAAACUCGGCUAGAAACACAUUUAUAAAAAUAAACCCAACGCAAAAUAGUUACUCUUUCUUUUCACUCGGAUUUCGAUAGGGUUGAAAAACUGCAAAUACACGCCCAACCUCAUUUCUAAGCCAGAUUACAGAGGGAGGGGAGGUGUUUCCACCACCAAGCACUUAAAACCGUAGCAGUGUAGUACCACCGUACACAACAAAAAACACAGCCCAUGCCGGUCUUGCCUAACUUGCUCGCCUCGAUAUCCUAUCCCAAUCUUUUUACUCUUUUCUGUAAUUGUUUCAUCGAAACAACCACCACCCACACACUGAACGAAAAUUAUUUUUAAAUAUCAAAUGUCGUAUGGUCGAGUAGUUAAGUAGCUACAACUGUAACCACUGUUAUUCGGCGAUAAGUUAAGCACUCGAUUGAACGAUAAUCGGAUCCCAAUUAUUAGUAAUUUACACGGAGCGCUUCGUGCGUCAUUAUUUUAUUAUACUACUUUGUAUGGCGGAAAAUGUAUAUUAAUAUUUAAUAUAAAGGUCAAAGUUUCGUGUGACUCGCACGACCAGUAAAAAAGUCAUUCAAUGGAAUGCGCGCUGCAUACCACGCGCCACGCGUAUUCAUCAUCAUAUAAUAUUAUUAUAUUAUAGUCGCCCGCAUAAAAAGUCCCCCUCUGCCGGCCUAUUAUAGUUCGUACUACACACAAGACCAUCUGUAUCGUGCUUCCGACGAUCGAGAUCUAUACAAGACACUAUAAUUAAUAAUAUAAACGUGUGCGCUUCCCAGAAGUAACGAACAAGAAUGUUAAAUACACAUCAACUCGAAUCGACAUGCCAGAAUAAAUCGUCGUGGGACCAUAGUUAUUCGAAUGGAAAUAAAUAAUAAUUGUAAUCAGUAAUCACUAUUCGAUAGCCGACAAAUUUUACAACGGUUCGAUGAUACCAUCCUGCGAGAAGUUAAAUUCUUUUACUUCUCCGCCAUGGCUCGCGGGACACCCGCCGACCAACACUACCAAAUAUUUUUGUAUGACAAAAGCCGAAAAAACUCAGGACGACGACGAUCCGAGUUUCUACAAUAGCGAGGAAUGUCGUUGUUAAAAAGAGCAGCGCUAACAACAAGAAAUGCCAUGUUUAAUUGAUCAAUGAAUAAGGAACGGUACAGCGUUAAAUCGAAGGGCGGCAAAAGAGGGACGGUGAGGUGCAGCAGAAGUCCACGAUAACGAAGCGGGGAUUAUUGUCGGCGGGCCUUCUCUUUCUGUCAUAAGUCGUCCUCCCAAGCACACAAUAAACGACCAUAAUGUUAUAUCAAAAAUCGUGUACAUGAUAUUACCAUUGUAAUAAUCGACACACAGCGACGAAGAAUACCAUUAAUUUUUGUCGGUAGCGGCUAAAGAGUGUGGCCGUCUUAAUAAGGAUGUACGCAAAGUGAGCUGGAAUUGAUAUACUUGCCGCGUGUACAGUACAAAUCAUAAGAGCGAGCAUUAUGAUAAUAAUUACGUUUAACGAAAAACGAUUGUGAAACGCGUAGUUUUAAAAACAUCAACUUUCUAGGGCUGAUGCGUCGAUUUAAACGCACAGACUUGAGACUCCCGCAAGGCCGUAACGUAUAAAAUAACACAACAGCGACAUCAUUAUAAUGUGAUCUACAACUCGAACGGAUAUAUUUACCAUUACAGUAUUACAUGUUAUCCACAAAAUACAAUCUGUACACAAAAAAAAAAACCGAUACAACGCAAAAUAGCGAAAACUCAAACCCGCACACGAGAUGACGGAACAAACAAAUCGCAUUGCUGUUGUUCCGAGUGCGGAAGAUGAAUGAUUUUUAUCACAACGAAUAUUACAGUGCAAUAUUAGAAUAUUAUGCGUGCCAUGAUAAUAAUAUAUGAAAGUGUGUACAUUGUAAUUACUAUGAUACACCGAAGGAACGCGCGAACGCUACGCCACGAGAAUAUAAUAAUAUUUUAAACAAUUUUAUCAUGAUCCAAUGCACAACGUCUGAAAGGUCUACUACGGCGUGCGGCGGCGGUAGUGGCGCGGAAAUAGAAGUCUCGUACACCGCGAGUCCGUGCCAGUUUCCACCGUCGCCAACAGGUUUCGCGCUAUCAGGACGAGCGAGGCGGAGGAAUGCGAAUAUAUGCGAUAGGUUAGGUUAGGUGAUUUCGCAGCCACCUUAGUAAAAAUUGAAAAACCUGACGUUCGCAGAGCUGCAUGCAUAAUCGUAUUUGUUAAUGAUAUUAAAUAACAACAAUGACACGGCACACAGCAAUAGCCAGUGGUAAGACCAAUACGUUUCAAUAACGCGCCAAAUAUCCGCGAAACACCGCACAUAAUAUCCGGUGGUCAAAGACAACACAAUUAUUAUGCACACAAUGCACUAUUGUGGUGCACCGAGCGCUGCACAGCACACGUCCACAUAUUAUUAUGAUGAUAUACGCUAGGAAUAAUAUCGUCAUUCACAAGAGAAGGGGGGGGGGGUAUUAUAUCGUCAUUAUUAUGACACGUGCGUCUAGGUUUUACAGCUAUGUAACUACACAACAAUAUAUUAUGAUUGUGUUACUACGGCGGCGGACACAACAUUAUACCGAAUAAAAAACGUCUAAACGCGGAAGAGUGAAAAAAAGACACCGUACGCGUUCGGGAUGUUUUCCAGAUACCCUGUGGCCUGUAUAAUAUAUAACAUACAUGUUUUUAUUACAUUUUAUAUGCGUUCAGAAGAUUUGGAAUAAAAAAAAAAUAGUUUCGAUAAUAUAAUAUUUUUCUUUUCGUAUACAAAGAUGUACCACUAUUGUCCGUUGAAAUUGAAAAGGUGUGGUACAUGUGUUUUAGUAUUUUUGUAUAAUGUAUAUAGUAUCGCGUAGUAAGUUGUUGUAGUUGGUUGUUUACAGCGAUAAGGAAUGCGGCAUACAAAUUCUAUAUAUAAUAUUAUUAAAUAGAAUAAUAAUAUGUAUAUUAAAUAUUACGCUUAUGGGGGAUUUUAUUUAAACAAUAAACACUGGUCUACAAACGGGCUACGUCAAAGCAAAGAAAAAAUAAAUUAUUAUCGAACACAAAUGGAACAUUUCACAGUUAAUUAUCGCGAUGACGACGACGUUUAUUGGCCGCAAUAGAUUUUUUGUAGUAAUAAAAUUUGAUUUCCCGUUCCUUCUACUGGGAUUCUCCAAGGAAAAUGAGUAUUGUAGUAACACGCUGUAGUGAUUUCACCGGAUUUCUACUUGUUACAACGUUUCCAGCACUUACAGUGAAAGCGUGUAAUACAUGGAAACCUCAUGAUGUCAGUUUUCAUAAUAAAACAUAUAUAUUUUCUGUCGACACCAAUGCGGGAAGUUUGAAUGAACAAAUGUAUUACACAUUAUGAACUUGUUGACGAAAAUCCACUACCCAGUAUAUAAUAAAAAUAAUUAUUAUUUUA